rnacentral:lncRNA from 1 species
GCCAGGAAGCCCCCGUGCUCCUCCUGGGUCACAGUGCUCCCCCUUGCAUCACCAUGUGCCUUCUGUAUCACCGUGCUCCCCUGCAUCACCCUGCCUCCCUGCGUCAUCCUGCCCCCCUGCAUCACCCUGCUCCCCCAUCACCCUGCCCCCUGCAUCACCCUGCUCCCCCAUUACCCUGCCCCCUGCAUCACCCUGCUCCCCCAUUACCCUGCCCCCUGCGUCACCCUGCUCCCCCAUCACCCUGCCCCCUGCAUCACCCUGCUCCCCCAUUACCCUGCCCCCUGUGCCACUGUGCUCCCCCAUCACCCUGCCCCCCUGCAUCACCAUGUGCCCCCCUGUGACACCCUGCUCCCCCCAUCAUCCUGCCCCCCUGCAUCACCACGCCCCCCCGUGUCACCGUGCUCCCCCCACGCAGUCUCCAAGGCACCUGCAGGCCAGGUAUCGGGGCACCCUCCACCCCCAGCCUCCGAGCCCUGCACUGCCCGCCGCCCGGCUCCUCUCCCGGGGCCGCCACCCCCACCGCGACUGCCCUGCGCCCCCAAGUGCCUGGCAGCAGGUCUGUGUCCCGAGCUGGGGGACGGGAGUCCUGGGCUGCGGCUCCCCCCUCUGCAGCUGCCCCGCCUGCCCCGGCGGCGCCCAUUCUUGGCGCAGGAUCACCAUGCUCCCCCACCCCCCCUGCUCCAGGCGGUCCCCGGGGCCCUGGCCUUGCACCCCUUCCCGCGGCCCGUGACCCUCGGGCCCAGGCCCUGGAACCUCGAGCUCCUCGCGGGCGUUUCUCCCACGGUGGCCUUGGGGGCUGGCAGGAGUCUGGGCGGUGAAGCAGGGGCACGGGGUGGGGGACCUGCCACCUGCCACCUGCCACCUGCCGAGGUGCAGCCCGGCCUGCAGCAGGCCCGUGACCACAGCCCCUGCCCCGCCGUGACCUCCCACUUGCUCUGCAGAUUCUGCAUCACCUGUGUCCGCCCCCCCCCCCACCCCGCAGGUGCCUCUUAUGGCCCCGCUUCCCCUCCCCCGCAGGUGCCUCUGACGGCCCGCUUCCCCCCACCCCGCAGCGGGAAACCGAGGCCAGGAUCGGCGUGGAGCAAACGCGGAGCAGCGGGGGCAAGCCCGGGACAGGAGCGGCGGCUCGAGCUCGCCCACCGGGACCUCGCAGCCUGCAAGCCCUCCCCGGGCACCGCAUCUGCCUCAGGGUCUACUGGCGUCUGCGCAGGCGGCCCGUCCUAG